rnacentral:lncRNA from 1 species
AGUUAGACAAGUAUUGAAGAAAUGGAGCAAGCAACAGGUACAGAAAUCAAUAUAAGAAGCCAUCCAUCUGUUUCGAUUGCUGAAAGAUCUUGCAGAAAGUGAACAAUUAAUUUCUUAUCUCUGUGACUGUGCCGAUGAUGUCACAGCAACUAAUGCCAAAAUUUAGUGUUGUUUGCCCAUAACAAAGUACUUGAAGGCAGUCCACCCACUCAAACUACACUGACACAGAAUGUUUCUGAGCAGUCCUAUGGUUUAAUUGCUGGCAGCAAAUGUUCUAAAAAAUACAAUCUUUAGCAAAUCCGGAGUCACGUGAAUGAAAACUGGCAGUCUAUUUGGAUGAUUGUGCCUGAGGUAGCAAAUAAUUUCUGAUUAUGUUAUGAUAGUGGGAUGAAAAAUAAGUAAAGAAGAUAUUUCAAAGUCUACUCUAUAAUUCAGAUUUACUGUGGGACUGAGAGGUUGUCCAUGAGAUGGUGAAUGCAACUGUACAGCCAUCAAGAAUACAAGAGAAGUAUCGAAAAAUGUAAUAAAGAUAUAAAUGGCAUCUUUUUAUUUCAUAAUUGUGUCUUGAACUGUAACCAUUCUUGAAAUUUUCAAGUUGGCUUAAAGACUAGGUAUACGCACAUCUUAGUGGCAGGGCAUAAAGAGAAACAACAUGACACAGAAAAUGAUAUGUAGAGGAAGAAUCUUUAAAUUUAUUCCUAGUGGUUUUUAUGUUUUGUUUUGUCUUGCUUUUCACGUAUAAAGGACAUAUUAAUACAUGAGUUUUAAAGAAAGGCCCUACCCUGGAAAUACCAUAUCUUCAAAAUCAUACAGCAUUUACAGUAAGUGACUGCAUAUCUCUAGUCGUAGGUCUUAACAGCAAGCCAACUUCAUAAAUGUUACAUCCACACACGUAUCAUAUAUUCAUGCUGCUGAGAGAAGAAAAAAGUGCAAUGUGUUAGUGAAGAAUAAAAAAGAUCAAGCUGUGAAAAAUGACAGGAUGCCUACCAAGGUAAUGGAUACCAAGAGACUGCUGAGGAGGGACAGCCUCAGCCCUGAUGGAUCAAGCCCCAUCAUCAGGCUUCAUCAACAUGGAGUUAUACCAGCACAAGUGGAAUGUGAGAUAAGGUUACGGUUUCUUUUCCAGUGUAGCCACAUUGCACAAUUCCUACUGUGCACCAUUUAUAGAAGGACUAACAGCUCUAGCUUGUUCUGCAGUUCUAAGAGAGAUCAAACUGUUACAAGAGAAGGAGGUGAUGUUUGUUCAGUCAGUGAGAAAAGCACUGCGAGGCUACAGCCUGUGGCAGGUGGGAGCUCUCGCUCGAGUGUCUGCCCUCUUCCACCACUGAUGUACACGUGUCUUCACAGAAAGGUGACGUCUCAGUCUCUUGCCUGAGAAUAGCACCCAGAAAUCCCAGAAUUUGUUUUAUUUUUCUUCUGACUGAUGGAGCUUUCCGCCUGCUGAAGGACUUCUGUCUGAAGUGGACACACUCUGGGUUUGUUCCAGCAUAACCAACAUUAAAGUCAGACCAUGCCGUGGUCACUUGCUGUGUAAUCGUUAUACUUCUAUUCCUCUUUUUCUCUUCCUCCCCUUUGCUUUUAUUCUUUAUAAACAACAAUAGAUUGAAGUUAUUUGAGGCAAAAAGCAUUUCCUCAUGUGUAUUUUUACAGUCUCUAACAUGAAGUUACCCUGUCCUAGAGUCUCUGUCUAAUGCAUACAGUGCUACGUGUGUAAGCUGGGCACGGCACCAGCCAGAGGCAGCAGUCCUUGUAAGCAGGCAGGCAACAUAACUGUGAUCUACCUGCCCACCUCAGCCCACUGACCAUUUUUUGAGCAUUUUUUGAUGGAUGACAGUGUCAUCCGUCCUCUACCACUGCUCAGCCCUGGAAACAUUCCUCAUCUAUUGUUUUCCUUCUUCUCUUAGCACAUCUCAAAAAGCUUGGCAGAAUCUAGCACAAAUUACAUGAAGUCAUGCAAAGCAAACAUUUGGAAGCUGCAGAAAUGGAUGGUUAUAUAUUUUUUUUUCAGCUGUGUAUUGGAAGAGACUCUCCUGACCAAGCUGUUUUUCAGCCAUGUAAAGCUGUUGAUGACACAGGGUUUUCCCUCCGGAAAGGGAUAUGAUCCCAUGUAGGACAUGACCCCAGCAGCCUGUGGGACCAUGUUUGUACCCCUUGGCAUCCACCGUCUUUUUGAGGGCUGAAGCCCUGGUCAGCUGAGAAGGGAACAGAAGAGGAAAUUGAGAAAAUUAAGGUCUUUAGAAAUGAUUCUGUUGGUACAGCU